rnacentral:lncRNA from 1 species
CCUUGAUAUUGUAAGGAAACACAUUCCAAUAAAUCAGAAUUAUAUUAUUGACGGAAGUGGUGCUACAACUAGUGCAGGACCUUUGUCUGGCAGUGAUUACCUUUCAUUCAUAGUUGAAAAAAGUAAUGGCUUUACUAAGUUAGGAGUUGAGCUUAUUCAGGAAAGCAUUGAGUCCUAUGUUUAUGCUAUUCUGGGAUCUCAAGCUAAUACAAGGUGGUCAAUAGAAGGAAACGGUCCAAAGGCUCUUCAAACACAACGUGACUUUAGAACUAUUGUGAAGUCUACUAUUUUACAAAGUAAUACGGUAACAACAAUUAGCAAUAUGAGGAAAGCUGUGAGGGACACCAAUGUGAUUCUAAACACUGCUCUAUCCCCUGGAAUAGUUUUAAUCCCAUCGAACUUUAUUAUUCUAAAAACUCCGAUACUCGGUUAUAAUAACCUUCUAAAGACGGCAACUAAUACAAUGAAAUUUGGGGUGAAUCCUAAGGUAAAUUAUGUUGGUGUUACGCAAGUUGAUCCUCCAAAGAAACAGCAUCAAAAUAGCACACCAGUUCACCACCUUGAUACUCUUAGUGGAAACACGAAAGUUCCGGGGAGUUCUGUAAGUGUUGCACCUCAGGUUGUUCCUAUCGCACAGCGUAAGGUGGUCAGCACACGUGAGUCCCUAGGUGACGGCGCUUUAGCUGGACUUGGUAUUGGGUCUGUCGCUGUGUUUCUUAUAUUGCGAACUGUUCUGUGAAACAUUGUGUAUGUUAUAAAAAUGGCUCUCUAUAGAGGAUACAACAAAGGAGUAAAUAAAGUUGACCCAUCAAGUGGUAGUGUGUUUGAUAAGGACGGAUUUACCAUAAAGGGUGACAUUGAGAUGGACGGUAAUGAGGUAAAGGGUUUAGGUGCACCUACAGAUGAUACGUCUGCGGUCACAAAAAAGUGGGUGGAUGGUGAGAUCAUUAAACAGGCUGCUGUUACAAUUCAACCAGCAGGGUUUACAAUGACUGGGGAUAUUGACAUGGGAGGUAAUAAGAUAACUAAUCUUGAUAAUCCUACUAAUCCAGGUGACGCUGCUAGUAAGAGUUGGGUUGAAGGUAGCCGCAGGCAUAUACACGUAAGCCUACCUGGUCUUAUCCUUACAAAUCAUCUCAACAUGUCAACCAAUGAAAUAAAGGCUUUUGGUGAUCCUACAACUGGAAAGUCUGCAGUUCACAAGAAUUGGGUAAUUAGCAUGCUAAAUAGACCUGUGACUGGACUUGAGAUUGCUGGGGACAUUGAUAUGAAGGACCAUGAGAUUAAGAACUUAGCUGAUCCUACAGACAACAAGUCUGCUGUUAGCAAGAGGUGGGUUACAUCAGGAUUCACUUUAAAUGGUGAUCUAACCGUUGCAAAUGGUAAUUCAAUCUAUACAAUCAACACCCUUGGUGCAAAAAUAGCUGUUCCCAAUAUUCAAACUGUGAUUAACCAAAUUUCACGCUUUGCCUUGAAAUUGGACGGUUCAAAUGAAAUGACAGGUGCUCUCAGGAUGGGUGGAAAUGAAAUUGAAAAUAUUGGAGCUCCUAGUGCUGAUACAUCUGCUGUUAACAAAAAGUGGGUAGAAGAUAAGAUUAGUGGAGGUAGAAGUAAGCGUGAGACUUACAGCGGUCUUACUCUAUCUGACGACCUUGAUAUGAAUAAUAACGAAAUAGUAAAAUUAGGUGCUCCCACAACUGAUAAUUCUGCUGUGUCUAAGAAGUGAGUCACUGAUCAUGUUAGUGGAAGUUCUAUUAGCAGUAGUGGGUUUACUAUGACAGGUAAUAUUGACAUGGGUGGGUAUAGUAUUACGGGUCUCAAAGGUGGAUCGGUUGGAAAUACCGGUGCACUUUCCGCUAAUACUAUAUACUCCUGGUGUAAACAGUUCCUGAAG